rnacentral:rRNA from 1 species
CAGACCCGGUAAGCGGCGGACUGGUGAGUAACGCGUGGGUGACCUGCCUUUAGACGGGGAUAAUCCGGUAGAAAUAUCGGGUAAUACCGGAUACGUUUAUUAGAUUAUGAUUUAGUAAAGAAAGGGGCUAAAUGCCCCGCCUAAAGAUGGGCCCGCGUUCCCAUUAGCUAGUUGGUAGAGUAAAGGUUUACCAAGCGAAGAUGGGUAGCCGGCCUGAGAGGGUGAACUGUGCACACUGGGACUGAGAUACUGUGCCAGAACUCCUACGUGGAGUGCAGCAGCUAAGAAUAUUCCGCACAUGGAGUGGAACUCUUGACGGAGCGACUGCCGCGUUGGGUGAGUGAAGGCCAGAAAGGUUGUAAAGACCUUUUAUCGCUAGAAGAAUAAGGCUGGACAGGGAGUGGCUGGCAAGAUGACGUUUAGGCAGAUAGAAUAAGGCACCCCGGCUA